ACUACGGGUGGCAGCAGUGAGGAAUAUUGGUCAAUGGACGAGAGUCUGAACCAGCCAAGUAGCGUGAAGGAUGACUGCCCUACGGGUUGUAAACUUCUUUUAUAUAGGAAUAAAAUGAUGCACGUGUGCCUUUUUGUAUGUACUUUAUGAAUAAGGAUCGGCUAACUCCGUGCCAGCAGCCGCGGUAAUACGGAGGAUCCGAGCGUUAUCCGGAUUUAUUGGGUUUAAAGGGAGCGUAGGUGGGUUGUUAAGUCAGUUGUGAAAGUUUGCGGCUCAACCGUAAAAUUGCAAUUGAUACUGGCAGUCUUGAGUACAGUAGAGGUGGGCGGAAUUCGUGGUGUAGCGGUGAAAUGCUUAGAUAUCACGAAGAACUCCGAUUGCGAAGGCAGCUUACUGGACUGCAACUGACACUGAUGCUCGAAAGUGUGGGUAUCAAACAGGAUUAGAUACCCGAGUAGUC
rnacentral:rRNA from 1 species